rnacentral:lncRNA from 1 species
GAAGGUUGUUUUAUUAGUGCAUCAGGUACAUGCAGCUACUUUGUUGCUCUAUUCACCUAGACCUAAUCGGCUAAGGAACAACUGACUUUCCUCUAGAGGAUUUGAACUGGAGGAGGCUUGAAGUUGAACAAUGGAACUCUCAGUACCAACUUCCCUUUACAGUCUGAUCUCAGAAAUCUGACAGCCAGUUGUAUUCCCCCAGACCCUCUACCUUCACCUGGUACUGAGGUUGUCCCACAUGGCAGUUUCAGGCGCAAUUCUUCUGGAGAUGACAAAGGGCAGGAAGGUGCUUCAGGUACGUGGGGAGGUGCUCUUUGUCGUUCACACCCAUGCACUGAGGAUUUCUCUGCCUGAUACAGAGAGCCUCAUGGAGCCACCAUUGGUAAUAUUCCCUCUUUCAACUACCUGCCACAUGCCAGGCUGUUGCAUUUGCUGCUAUAUACAUGGAAAAAUAAAAUUCUGAUUAUAAUAUAUUAUAAGUAUGAUUAAAAUAGGAUGCAGUGAGAGACAAUAAUGAAGAAGACAUGUGUAUUUGGAAGACUUACUUAGAUCAGGAAGCCUCUCUCAGGAAGUGACCUUUUACUCAAAGCCUGGAGGGAAAAGAUAUCCACAAGCUAUUGACGAUAUCAUAUUUCCAAUAGAGGCAGAGUGUAAAAUGCCAUUAUUGUAACCUAUCGGAGCAGCCUGUUCAGCUGAGCUGUAACAGCCUCUGGGUCUGAAAGUUGCUUUCAUUUUGGUUUCACUCACGAAGACUGUGCUAAAAUCAGAGGGAUGAAAGAAUAAUGUUCCUCCUUAAGUUCCUAACAUGCCUGGCCACUUAGUGGGGUAAAGGAAAUAUCUAUGCUUGUUUGAGGAUCAAAUAAAAAGAUAAUU